AUACACUUGAUGGAAUAGGAAGAACUUGUCCAGUAGGUACAGCUACUUUCUCUGCAUAACGUCCUCCACCAAUGAGAGCACAUGCCUAUUAUGCGAAGCUUUUAACAUCAUCAAUGCACUAAACAAAACUCCCUUUCACCUUGAAACAUGAAGCCUUUUGUCCCUGAUGGGGAGCAGUCAUUUUACACUCCACUCCUACUCCUACUCCAAUGAAUAUUCAGAAAAUGUUUACUUACAAAGUCACAAUCAAGCUUGUUGCAGGUGCCGGCAGGGACACCAGCCUCUCAUGAAGAAAAAUUACUGAUGCAACUACAAGAGGUCCAACCACAAAAGAGUAAAAAUUGGUUGUCAGAGAAAAUGAAAGAAAUUUUAUCUUCUUCGCUAACUAACAAACGGAAAUUAGUUAUCUUAAGACCUCUCUGAUCCGUAUCAACAGGCCCAAAAACUUGCAUUACACACUGUUACUGGUGGUAAAUGCAAGAUCACAGGAAAAUUGCCUAUUCACACCAAUGUCUUGCGCAUCAACUUAGUCAUCCUUUUUCAGUUUCAACUUUGCUUCGACAUAGCCGUUGUAAGGAACCACAUGGUAUGCAUAUUGCUGCAUAACAGAAAAGAAAACCAUCUCCACACAAAUUAAAACAUUCUGAAUGGCUUCCUGAAGGUGCUCCACAUCCAACCAAAAAUGGUGAGAUUUGAUAACUCCCAAAGAGACCAGAAUUUUAACCAGCAACCCCUGCAAAAGUCAGAGAUGAAUAGUUUAUUGCAUCAGUGGUGGUAAAAACAUAUCUCGGGCAAAGCAUCAAACGGAGAGAGGCUUCCUUACAGAAACAACACAACGAAGAAACCAAUACCUCCUUUUUGGUAAGUUGAAAGAACCUCAAUAGUAAUGGCAUGCAAGUCAAAAGGAUCUAAACAGGAUUCAAUUUUUUAAUGGUGAUGUUUUUGUAUCCUUUUCUUGAUGAAGAUUGUUGCCUAGCAGGACACCUUUUUAUUUUGAUAACCUAGAAAUCCUGAGGGUCAGUGGCUCAUGAUUUGAAACUCAGUGGAUAUGGAUCUGCCCUCUACCUUUCCACUUAAAUACCUUGUUGUUUGUCUGCAGCAGGGUUUGAACUCAUAACGCGAGCCUAACCUUUACAUCACGUUUCCUUGCGGCAAACCGGCAACUAACAGGAUUCAUUUAUAUUACCCUAUAAUCAGCAGUUCAUUACAGUGAUUCCAUGCCUCAAACUCACAUAUUGGGUAUUCACCCAGCAAUCUAACUUCAGAGGAGAUGACUGUAAAAGAAUAGCAGCUAUCUACUCCUAAUGACAAAACCUUUUAGAGGAGGUUGGAGGCAGACAUGUUAAAGAUCUUUAAUUUUCACUUGUUUGAACAGAUAAAAUGUGACAUCCCAACUGCAGAACCCAUCUGUGUGCACUUCUUCCUUCUCCUUUGAUAACAACUCCUCCAUAGGAAGAACUGUGUAGUAGUCAGCACGUUGGAGCUUUGGCAUAAUGCCAUCCACAUCCUUAUCAUCGUCACAAUUAUCAGAAUGCAUCUCUCCAGGCUAUAACUUGGGCUUAUCACCAACUUUGUCUCCGUCAUGCAUCCCUACAUCUGAAACAGAAAAGGGAAUUAUGCAAUUCAAUUGCAAGUCAACUUGUAUAUCCUUAGAUAUACUCAAAUAGAUAACAAAUUCUGUGAAGUUACUUGGUUUAAAUUUGAACUAUUAGAGAUUCCAGACUAUGAGUUUAAGGAAAUGGGAUCUUAAUGGAGCAGACAUAAAAUGGUAGGAGUACUAGAUAUUAAGUAAUCCACUAAAACAUUACAUGUGACAUUCCCAUUCCCUAACUAUGAUAAUUGACUUAUGCAUCUAUUAGAAUCCAGCUGAACCAAUCAACGAAAGGAAGGUAUGCAUGCAUAAGUUCAUUAAAAAAGAAAGCUUACUGUCCAAUAGAUUAAUCAGCCCCCAGUGGAAAUUCUUCAGCGGUAGGAAGAACCCAGUCCCUUGGAGUUUCCCUUGGAAUGAUGAUGACUUCUGUCCUUAGUACGCCAUAGGCGUUUUCUUUAUCCAAGAAAAAGAGGACCUACAUAAACAAAUAUAGUCCUGUUGAAUUUUCCAGUGUUUUACUUGGAUUAGAGAAAAAUAUGGACUUGUCCUGUAUUUUUUCACCAAAAGGAUACCCAUACUUGCAAUCUUUGCAUAUAACCUGUGUUUAUCUUAUGUAACUUAAACUUUUGGUCCAUCAACCAAAGCAUGCCACGAACUACUAAACAAGUCUCACAUAAAAUCAAACUUCUCACCUUUGAUUUAUCACUUGUAGGUUUGUAUUUCUUUGGCAACAUAUGCUGACUCUGACUUAGAGAUGAAUGCUGAAUUAUCAACGAGGAUCUUCGUCUGACUGGACCAGGGUUGUUAGAAACCUGCAACCAACAACAGUAGAAAUUUUCGUAAUAGCCUACAACUUUUGUUUUCACGUUAAACAUAAACAGUAUGAGUUUAACAAUCAUAGUGAAGCUAUAAAAACAUAAUCUUGCCUGAUACUUUGAAGAGUUUGUUUGGAACUUGGACAACUAUAUUGUUGUUUAUAUCUUAUUGGAGAAAUACUGAAAUUAAUUUAUAUAAACCUACUUGAUGCAGUAAAUCCAAAGAAAUAUAAAGCCAAAGUUCAGAGCAACUAGACGCAAUUACAUCUAACUUGAUAGGAAAACAUCAAUAAUUACAACAUAAUAAAGGUAAUAAAUAUAUCUGUCUUUCAAGGUGCAUAACAUUAUAGCAAUAGUAAUGAGGCAUCCCCUACAUCAUGUAACUUCUAGUGAGUAUGAUACUUGGUUUGAAACCAAUGAACACAUCCAGGAGCAACAUCAAUUAUAAUAACUUGUUCAGAAAUGUGAAACUUACAGGUGAACUAGAAAUUCCAAACUUGGAUGGAUGUUUCCAAACUUGGGUGCUCAACUGAGAUUCGGGUGCUGCUGACCAAAUCCUUGUUCAAUUUCUGAGCAACUAGCCAGGAGGAUUAAUUACAUGGAUUACAAUCCAACAUACUAUCAACUUUAAAAAGAGCAAGAAAUACUGCACUAAGUGUACCUGUUGACGGGUGAGAAGUGUUGAUUUUUGGAAGUGUUGCUCCAACUUUAGGGGUCAUUUCUGGCUGAAGAGGACCAAAGAACAGAGGCUGGAAGAGUAGGAACAACUUAGAUGUACAACACCACAAUAAAAGUGCUUCACUGAUUUUAUAGACCACAAGGUGCCUUUUAUACUAUUUAUCUAUUAUUUUUGACAGAAAGCAAAUAGCAGAGAUAUAUAAAAGAG
rnacentral:lncRNA from 1 species